rnacentral:tRNA from 1 species
UGGGGUGUAGCCAAGUGGUAAGGCAACGGGUUUUGAUCCCGUCAUUCGCAGGUUCGAUUCCUGCCACCCCAGCCA